rnacentral:rRNA from 1 species
UACCAGACUCCUACGGGAGGCAGCAGUAGGGAAUCUUUCACAAUGGGGGGAACCCUGAUGCAGCGACGCCGCGUGGGUGAAGGAGCACCUCGGUGCGUAAAGCCCUAUCGGCAGGGAAGAAAAGCGAACAGGUUCGCCUGGACGGUACCUGACUAAGAAGCCCUGGCUAACUACGUGCCAGCAGCCGCGGUAAUACGUAGGGGGCAAGCGUUAUCCGGAUUCACUGGGUGUAAAGGGAGCGUAGGCGGCGAUGCAAGCCAGAAGUGAAAGCCCGGGGCUCAACUCCGGGACUGCUUUUGAAACUGUGUUGCUAGAUUGCAGGAGAGGUAAGUGGAAUUCCUAGUGUAGCGGUGAAAUGCGUAGAUAUUAGGAGGAACACCAGUGGCGAAGGCGGCUUACUGGACUGUAAAUGACGCUGAGGCUCGAAAGCGUGGGGAGCAAACAGGAUUAGAUACCCUGGUA